rnacentral:rRNA from 1 species
UACAGAGGGUGCAAGCGUUGUUCGGAUUCACUGGGCGUAAAGGGUGCGUAGGUGGUGAGGUAAGUCGGAUGUGAAAUCUCCGGGCUCAACCCGGAAACUGCAUUGGAAACUACCUUGCUUGAGGAUUUGAGGGGGGAUUGGAAUACUUGGUGUAGCAGUGAAAUGCGUAGAUAUCAAGUGGAACACCAGUGGCGAAGGCGAAUCCCUGGAAAAUACCUGACACUGAGGCACGAAAGCUAGGGGAGCAAACAGG